rnacentral:misc_RNA from 1 species
CUGCCCGGCGCCUCUGUCCUCCUCCGGGCUCCACAGGCCUUGCCAGGCAUGGGGUUGGCCUUGUUGAAACCACCAGAUUUGUGCCUCCUAGACCCCAGUUCCUCGGCAACAAGAGCCUCCGCCGGAGUCGCCGCGGAGAAGCUGCUGCUCGCCGUCGCAGCCGAGGUGGUAAUAUAUGCUGGAAGCCUAUUGCAUAACUUCAACCAUUGA